GAUUGCCUUAGUAACGGCGAGUGAAGCGGCAACAGCUCAAAUUUGAAAUCUGGCGCUUUUGGUGCCCGAGUUGUAAUUUGCAGAGGAUGCUUUUGGCGACGUGCCUUCCGAGUUCCCUGGAACGGGACGCCAUAGAGGGUGAGAGCCCCGUACGGUCUGGUGCCUAGCCGUUGUAAAGCUCCUUCGACGAGUCGAGUAGUUUGGGAAUGCUGCUCUAAAUGGGAGGUAAACUCCUUCUAAAGCUAAAUAUUGGCCAGAGACCGAUAGCGCACAAGUAGAGUGAUCGAAAGAUGAAAAGCACUUUGAAAAGAGAGUUAAAUAGCACGUGAAAUUGUUGAAAGGGAAGCGCUUGUGACCAGACUUGGGCUUGGUAGUUCAGCCGUCCUUUUGGGCGGUGCAUUCUGCCGGUUCAGGCCAGCAUCAGUUGUCGGUUGGGUAGAAUUGUAGUGGGAAUGUGGCUCUUCGGAGUGUUAUAGCCCGCUACGCAAUGCCCUCCUGGCGACUGAGGUUAGCGUUUUCACGGAUGCUGGCGUAAUGGUUAUCAGCGACCCGUCUUGAAACACGGACCAAGGAGUCGUCCUGCUAUGCGAGUGUUUGGGUGUUAAACCCCUACGCGAAAUGAAAGUGAACGGAGGUGAGAGCUUUGGCGCAUCAUCGACCGAUCCUGAUGUUUUCGGAUGGAUUUGAGUAAGAGCAUAGCGGGCCGGACCCGAAAGAAGGUAAGCAAAAGACCCAAAUAUCCCCUAAUUUUUUAGUGGACGUAUGUACUAACGGUGGCAACCUUAUAGGUGAACUAUGCUUGAAUAGGGCAAAGCCAGAGGAAACUCUGGUGGAGGCUCGCAGCGGUUCUGACGUGCAAAUCGAUCGUCAAAUUUGAGCAUGGGGGCGAAAGACUAAUCGAACCUUCUAGUAGCUGGUUUCUACCGAAGUUUCCCUCAGGAUAGCAGUGUUGAUUCUCAGUUUUAUGAGGUAA
rnacentral:rRNA from 1 species